rnacentral:rRNA from 1 species
UUGGAGGGCAAGUCUGGUGCCAGCAGCCGCGGUAAUUCCAGCUCCAAUAGCGUAUAUUAAAGUUGUUGCAGUUAAAAAGCUCGUAGUUGAAUUUCGGGGUUAGCAGGUCGGUCGUGCCAAUGGUAUGCACUGGCUCGCUGACUCCUCCUUCUUGUAGAACCGUAAUGCCAUUAAUUUGGUGUUGCGGGGAAACAGGACUGUUACUUUGAAAAAAUUAGAGUGUUUAAAGCAGGCUAGCGCCUGAAUACAUUAGCAUGGAAUAAUGAAAUAGGACGUUCGAACCUAUUUUGUUGGUUUCUAGGAUUGACGUAAUGAUUAAUAGGGAUAGUUGGGGGCAUUAGUAUUCAAUUGUCAGAGGUGAAAUUCUUGGAUUUAUUGAAGACUGACUACUGCGAAAGCAUUUGCCAAGGAUGUUUUCAUUAAUCAAGAACGAAAGUUAGGGGAUCGAAGACGAUCAGAUACCGUCGUAGUCUUAACCAUAAACUAUGCCGACUAGGGAUCGGAUGAUGUUAAUUUUUUAAUGACUCAUUCGGCGCCUUACGGGAAAC